UACGGGGGGGGCAAGCGUUGUUCGGAAUUACUGGGCGUAAAGGGCUCGUAGGCGGCCAACUAAGUCGGAUGUGAAAUCCCCAAGCUUAACUUGGGAACUGCAUCCGAUACUGGAUGGCUUGAAUCCGGGAGAGGGAUGCAGAAUUCCAGGUGUAGCGGUGAAAUGCGUAGGUAUCUGGAGGAAUACCGGUGGCGAAGGCGGCAUCCUGGACCGGCAUUGACGCUGAGGAGCGAAAGCUAGGGGAGCAAACGGG
rnacentral:rRNA from 1 species